UACAGAGGGUGCAAGCGUUGUUCGGAAUUACUGGGCGUAAAGGGCUCGUAGGUGGUCAACUAAGUCGGACGUGAAAUCCCUCAGCUUAACCGGGGAACUGCGUCCGAUACUGGAUGACUUGAGUUCGGGAGAGGGAUGCGGAAUUCCAGGUGUAGCGGUGAAAUGCGUAGAUAUCUGGAGGAACACCGGUGGCGAAGGCGGCAUCCUGGACCGACACUGACGCUGAGGAGCGAAAGCCAGGGGAGCAAACGGG
rnacentral:rRNA from 1 species